rnacentral:tRNA from 1 species
GCCGCGGUGCUGGAAUUGGAAGACAGAGCGGACUCAAAAUCCGCUGUCCCAAAAGGACGUGAGGGUUCAACUCCCUCCCGCGGCA